UACGUAGGGUGCAAGCGUUAAUCGGAAUUACUGGGCGUGAAGGGCUCGUAGGUGGCCAACUAAGUCAGACGUGAAAUCCCUCGGCUUAACCGGGGAACUGCGUCUGAUACUGGAUGGCUUGAGUUUGGGAGAGGGAUGCGGAAUUCCAGGUGUAGCGGUGAAAUGCGUAGAUAUCUGGAGGAACACCGGUGGCGAAGGCGGCAUCCUGGACCAACACUGACGCUGAGUGAGCGAAAGCCAGGGGAGCAAACGGG
rnacentral:rRNA from 1 species